rnacentral:lncRNA from 1 species
GUGUAUGCCUGGUACCUGAGGUCACAACAGGGCAUUGGAUCUCCUGGAACUGGAGAUGGUUGUGAGCUGCUAUGGGUGCUAUGGAUGACCCUGGGUUCUCUUCAAGAGCAAUAAAUGGGCUAACAGAUGAACCAUCUCUCCAGCUCCCCCCUUCUGCUGUGGGGGCAUUGCGCAGAGACCCGGAUUUCCUCACAUGCUGUGGGUUUUCUGUGAAAAGGGAAUACUCUGACUCUUGGCACAGACUCCGAGGUGUUGGAACUAGAGGCAUGCUCCAGCACACCAGGCUAAAGACAACAGAAAAACCCUGCAGCUGCAACAGCAGAGGCCAGUGGACUCCGUGGAUGUGGGACGUACACGAACUGUGUUCUACAACUCAAUAUACAUGCAAAGCAUUCCCAGCAGGGCCAGGUGUCCCACAAAUGUGUUUUUAUCUUGUAGGCACUUGGUGGGUUGACUGUAAGGUUGGAGGGAAAUGGGGUGUUAAGGACAACCUCCAGGCUCUGGCUCUGAAUAGUAUGUCAAGUGAGUGCCAACAAAAUGAAAACAGAGGAGAGGAUGAUAUUUCGUGCUGUUUUGUUUUUGUUCUGUGACAGGAUCCUAUCAUCCUGGCUGUACUGGGCAGAGAGGCUGACCUCAAACUCACAGAGAUCCUUCUGCUGCUGCCUCCCAGGUUCUGGGACUAAAGACAUGCACUACCACCCCAGCUAGGUUUGUUUGUUUGUUUUUGAGACUUAUGAGGAGGAAAACUCUAUAAUCACACACCCACUGCUUCUUCUCUUUUCCUUGUCCUCUCUCCUCUAAGCUGGCUUUUAACUCCUGGGUCCAAAUGUUCCUCCUGCCUCUUCCUCAGAAGUAGCUGGGACUAUAGAUGUGAACAAUAAGGAUUAACUAAAACAAUAAUAAAAACAAACAAACAACCACUAACAUAUAUAGAAAACCAGGAGUUAAAGGCACAAGGGAACCCACCAGACAGCUGCCUCUCCCCAAAUCAGUAUUUCAGAUAGAAGAGAUAGAAGUCCCUCCUUGGCUUUUGGGGUCCCUUUUAUUGGGAAUGGGUUAGGGUUAAUAGAAAACAGCCACUAAAUAAUUAUAAAUUAGCAACUAGAGAAUUGGCUGUUAGCAUUGGACAGAGAAUGCAGGCACUCAGG